UACAAAGGGGGCUAGCGUUGCUCGGAAUCACUGGGCGUAAAGGGUGCGUAGGCGGGUCUUUAAGUCAGGGGUGAAAUCCUGGAGCUCAACUCCAGAACUGCCUUUGAUACUGAAGAUCUUGAGUCCGGGAGAGGUGAGUGGAACUGCGAGUGUAGAGGUGAAAUUCGUAGAUAUUCGCAAGAACACCAGUGGCGAAGGCGGCUCACUGGCCCGGUACUGACGCUGAGGCACGAAAGCGUGGGGAGCAAACAGG
rnacentral:rRNA from 1 species